CCCAGACUCCUACGGGAGGCAGCAGUGGGGGAUGUUGCACAAUGGGGGAAACCCUGAUGCAGCGACGCCGCGUGAGUGAAGAAGUAUUUCGGUAUGUAAAGCUCUAUCAGCAGGGAAGAAAAAAGACGGUACCUGACUAAGAAGCCCCGGCUAACUACGUGCCAGCAGCCGCGGUAAUACGUAGGGGGCAAGCGUUAUCCGGAUUUACUGGGUGUAAAGGGAGCGUAGACGGCAAUACAAGUCGGAAGUGAAAUACCCGGGCUCAACCUGGGAACUGCUUUGGAAACUGUAUGGCUGGAGUGCUGGAGAGGUAAGCGGAAUUCCUAGUGUAGCGGUGAAAUGCGUAGAUAUUAGGAGGAACACCAGUGGCGAAGGCGGCUUACUGGACAGUAACUGACGUUGAGGCUCGAAAGCGUGGGGAGCAAACAGGAUUAGAUACCCGCGUA
rnacentral:rRNA from 1 species